rnacentral:lncRNA from 1 species
CAGAAAUCCUGACACCAAGGAGAUUGUUUAUCUUUCCUAUGCCAGUGUUGGGAGAAAGAAUGAGUAUUGGAAAUUAGGCAAUUGUCAGCAAUGCUGGAACCUACAGGGGAGGCCAAGAGGAGAAAGAAAAAUGACCUAUCAAACUCUAGAACAAGGAGGAUGCAGACCCCAAAUUCCACAGCCUGGACAAACAUCUCCCAAAUUAUCCUAUAUCCUUUCGCUUGAUCUCGGUGACAUUCAUUAAAAGAUCACAGACUUUGGAAUCAGACUGACCAGCUUUUAAAUCCUGUCUUUCCCACUUAAUAAAUAUGUUCCCU